rnacentral:rRNA from 1 species
AAACCAGCACCUCAAGUGGUCGGGAUGAUUAUUGGGCCUAAAGCAUCCGUAGCCUGUUCUGUAAGUUUUCGGUUAAAUCUGUACGCUCAACGUACAGGCUGCUGGGAAUACUGCAGAACUAGGGAGUGGGAGAGAUAGACGGUACUCGGGAGGAAGUGGUAAAAUGCUUUGAUCUCUCGAUGACCACCUGUGGCGAAGGCGGUCUAUCAGAACACGUCCGACGGUGAGGGAUGAAAGCUGGGGGAGCAAACCGGAUUAGAAACCCCAGUAGUCC